rnacentral:rRNA from 1 species
AGUGAACGCUGGCGGUAGGCCUAACGCAUGCAAGUCGAACGGCAGCACAGUAAGAGCUUGCUCUUACGGGUGGCGAGUGGCGGACGGGUGAGGAAUACAUCGGAAUCUACUUUUUCGUGGGGGAUAACGUAGGGAAACUUACGCUAAUACCGCAUACGACCUACGGGUGAAAGCAGGGGAUCUUCGGACCUUGCGCGAUUGAAUGAGCCGAUGUCGGAUUAGCUAGUUGGCGGGGUAAAGGCCCACCAAGGCGACGAUCCGUAGCUGGUCUGAGAGGAUGGUCAGCCACACGGGAACUGAGACACGGUCCAGACUCCUACGGGAGGCAGCAGUGGGGAAUAUUGGACAAUGGGCGCAAGCCUGAUCCAGCCAUACCGCGUGGGUGAAGAAGGCCUUCGGGUUGUAAAGCCCUUUUGUUGGGAAAGAAAAGCAGCAGGUUAAUACCCCGCUGUUCUGACGGUACCCAAAGAAUAAGCACCGGCUAACUUCGUG